CAAACUGGUCAAUAACACCCAAAGAAAUCCAUCUCAAAAAAAUCAUGAAAUCUACCAAAAGAGGCAAGUAAAAGGUAUUUGAGGGAGUAGCUUGUAAAAUAAGAAUUGUGCUUCAAAACAUGAUAUGAAAAGUUCCAAUGACCCAAAACACUCCAAAAUCAUACCAAAUCUCAACAACGCAAUAGAUAAAAAAACAUCAAAAAGAGAAAUAUUGUAUUCC
rnacentral:lncRNA from 1 species